ensembl:snRNA U1 U1 spliceosomal RNA
AUACUUACAUGGCAGGGGAGAUACCAUGAUCACGAAGGUGGUUUUCCUGGGGUGAGACUUAUCCAUUGCACUCCGGAUGCACUGACCCCUGCGAUUUCCCCAAAUGUUGGAAACUCGACUGCAUAAUUUGUGGUAGUGGGGGACAAAAAAAAAAAGAAUAUGCUUCAUUUCCAUU